rnacentral:rRNA from 1 species
CGGGGAAGUAGGGACCAACAGGGGAUUGCCUCAGUAACGGCGAGUGAAGCGGCAAGAGCUCAAAUUUGAAAGCUGGCCCCUUCGGGGUCCGCGUUGUAAUUUGCAGAGGAUGCUUCGGGUGCAGCCCCCGUCUAAGUGCCCUGGAACGGGCCGUCAUAGAGGGUGAGAAUCCCGUCUGGGACGGGGUGUCUGCGUCCGUGUGAAGCUCCUUCGAAGAGUCGAGUUGUUUGGGAAUGCAGCUCUAAAUGGGUGGUAAAUUUCAUCUAAAGCUAAAUACUGGCCGGAGACCGAUAGCGCACAAGUAGAGUGAUCGAAAGAUGAAAAGCACUUUGAAAAGAGAGUUAAACAGCACGUGAAAUUGUUGAAAGGGAAGCGUUUGCGACCAGACUCGCUCGCGGGGUUCAGCCGGCAUUCGUGCCGGUGUACUUCCCCGUGGGCGGGCCAGCGUCGGUUUGGGCGGCCGGUCAAAGGCCCUCGGAAUGUAUCACCUCUCGGGGUUGUCUUAUAGCCGAGGGUGCAAUGCGGCCUGCCCGGACCGAGGAACGCGCUUCGGCUCGGACGCUGGCGUAAUGGUCGUAAAUGACCCGUCUUGAAACACGGACCAAGGAGUCUAACAUCUACGCGAGUGUUCGGGUGUCAACCCGUACGCGCAGUGAAAGCGAACGGAGGUGGGAGCCCCCUCGUGGGGCGGCACCAUCGACCGAUCCUGAUGUCUUCGGAUGGAUUUUGAGUACGAGCGUAGCUGUGGGGACCCGAAAGAUGGGUGAACUUAUGGCCUGGAUUAGGCGAAGCCCGAAGAAACUCCUGUGGAGGCUCGCACCGGUUUCUUGACGUUGCCAAGUCGAAUUCGUUCACACAUUCGGCGUAAUAGGGGCGAAGGAACCUUGAAGGUCGGAAAGCAU